ACUUAACUAAAUAAAAAAUUUAAGAACCAAAGUAUCACGAGCCUCAAAGUUUGAGGACUAGGGGUGCAAUUUACCCCUGUAUAUUUGGAGCAAUGCUACAGAUACACUAUCUUACACCUAUUCCAUCGUAAAGUCAUUUUUGUCACAUCAAUUUUUUAAAAUUUUACUAAAAAUUAAUUCGGUUUUUAUCAACUCUAGAAUUGCGGGCGGAAGAUCAACA
rnacentral:lncRNA from 1 species